AGGUCCCAAAGCAUAGACUGACUCUGAGGGACGAAAGUGUGGGGAGCGCACGGGAUUAGAUCCCCCGGUAGUCCACGCUGUAAUCGAUGGAUACUAGCUGUUGGGUUUUCGGUCUGGGCGUCCAAGAGAAAGUGAUAAGUUUCCCACGUGGGGAGUGCGUUCGCAAGAAUGAAUCUCAAAGGAAUUGACGGGGGCCCGCACAAGCGGUGGAGCAUGUGGUUUAUUUCGAUGAUACGCGAGGAACCUUACCAGGGUUUAAAUGGGAGAUGCUCGGGUCAGAGAGGACCCUUUUUUGGGACAUCUUUCAAGGUGCUGCAUGGUUGUCGUCAGCUCGUGCCGUGAGGUGUCAGGUUAAGUCCUAUAACGAGCGCAACCCCUACCGUUAGUUGCCAGCGAGUCAAGUUGGGGACUCUAACGGGACUGCCGGUGCAAACCGAGAGGAAGGUGGGGAGGACGUCAAAUCAUCACGGCCCUUACGUCCUGGGCUACACACGUGCUACAAUGGUCGGUACAAAGGGAAGCCACCCCGUGAGGGGGCGCGGAUCUUAAAAGCGCGAUCAUCAGUUCGGAAUCGGGGUCUGCAACUCGACCCC
rnacentral:rRNA from 1 species